rnacentral:lncRNA from 1 species
AAUCAGUUUCAUUGAUCCAGCUCGGUGGUACAUUGACUCGAUGCACUUUCGUCUAUACACGGUGUCCCGUCUUAAAAUUGUCUGGAAAUCUGAGCUAGUAUUUUACGAUAGGUAAGCUCCGUCGUGAAAGAGAAACAUGGUCAAAUCCUUAUCCACGUAGUACGACACCUAAAUCUCUACCAUAGGUACGAACAUUUGUGCUAUAUUUUUAGUAGCAACAUCGAUUAGAUACACGAGAGUGGACUUCAGAAAGGCGCGUAGAGGGGAAGGAAGAGGAAAAA